rnacentral:rRNA from 1 species
UACGUAGGGGGCAAGCGUUAUCCGGAUUUACUGGGUGUAAAGGGAGCGUAGACGGCGAUGCAAGUCUGGAGUGAAAGCCCGGGGCUCAACCCCGGGACUGCUUUGGAAACUGUGCUGCUAGAGUGCAGGAGAGGUAAGUGGAAUUCCUAGUGUAGCGGUGAAAUGCGUAGAUAUUAGGAGGAACACCAGUGGCGAAGGCGGCUUACUGGACUGUAACUGACGUUGAGGCUCGAAAGCGUGGGGAGCAAACAGGAUUAGAUACCCCUGUAGUC